CGGGAUAAGCCUCCAAAAAUCAUGAGAAUGGAUCGGGAGCAUCGUGGUGUCGGGGAAUAAACUCCCGAACAGACGGAUCGCGAAUUGGUGGCCGUUCGGGUGGUCGCGUGAGAGAUCGGGCCAAACCGGGUUACGGGUGCCGCGGGAGGCCGAUUGCAAGUGUCGACAAGCAAUCGGAAUGCGAAAUGAGGUGGGUUGUGCUCACCGAAGCGAUUAGGUCGCUUUCCAUGCUAAAGUGUAGUAUGUUUACUAUUUACGCAUGAUAAAGUAUGCUAUUUAAGAAUGCAUGAUAAAGAUUAAAGUAUGCUAUUUGAGAAUGCAUGAUAAAGUAUACUAAUUAAGAAUGCAUGAUAAAGAUAGAUGCCAAAUGAAUGCAUGAGUUGAUGUUAAUUUAUAUGUGCAUAUUAUAGAAAUGCUAAAUAGAUGUCAAAUGAAAGUAUGAGAUUGUACUAACCGAGAAUGCAUGUAGUAAACGUUAACGAAUGCAUAAAAUGCUAAGUGAUGACUACCAAUGGAUGACAAAAUAUAUGCAUGUUGAACAUAGAUCGAGUGGCAUUCGAAAUGGUAAAGUGGACACUAGAGUUAGUGUGGGACAUCAAAGAAUAAAUGUGAUGUAAAGAACAAUGAUAAUGGCUAAAGAUAAUGUAAAACAAUGUGAUGAUAAUAAUGUAAUGUUGCAUGAUGUGAGUACACGUGCUUAUUAGAAUGAUUAAGAAUCUAAAUAAUCUAUGUGUAUGCAUGAGAUGUAAUGUGAGAACCUAAUGAUAAUGGCUUGAGACAAGGCAAAGCAAUGUGAUGUAAAGAAUAAUGAUAAUGGCUAAAGACAAUGUAAUGUAAUGUGGCAUAAAGAACGUGUAAAGUUAAAGAAUGUGAAAGCUAAAGAUAGCUUAAAGUAAAGGAAUGUGAAAAACGUGAUUGCUAGAGUUAGCAAAAGUAAAAGAGAUGUAAAGAACAAUGAUUGCUAGAGUGGCAACAUAAAGUGAUGUAAAGAACACUAGAGUUAGUGUAAAACCAUGAUCCAACUACAUAUCCUUAGAGUUAAGGAUUGAUCAUACUUGCUAUGAGUUCCGUGCUCGAGGGCGGUCGCUCCCCCUCGGGCGAUGCGCUCCGGAGUUUGGCAUCCGGGUUGGAGUAGACCCGUAAGGACGGUCCUAGCUGGUGAGUUCCUGCGAUGAUGGACUUAAUGUGAAGCAAGUUAAUGUGGCGAAACCCCCGGGUUAGCCGUGAGAUUAAAGAACAAAGAACAAAAAGGAAUCAUGAAUUGGAAAGUGGAUCUUGUAUUCAUUAUGAAUUGACUCAAGACCGAGUCGAGUGGCAUAGUUGGCUAAGGUAAAGGUAACCCUGUGAAAGAAUGACAAUUGAGAAAGAAUGACAAUUGAGAAACGUUUGUUAAUGUUAUAAAGAAUGGCAAAUGUGUAUAAUGCGCCUAAGGUGCGAGUGCCCUUAGCAAAGAAUAAAGAAUAAAGAAUAAAGAAUAAAGAAUAAAGAAUAAAAAAAGAAAGAGUAAAGAAUGGCUAAUGAUAAAGAAUAGCAAAUUCUAAAGAAAGGCUAAUGGUAAAGAAUGACUAAGAGUUGCAUAAUUUGCAUAUUUGUGAGGCAUGAACAUGUAUUGCAUGAUGUUAUAUAUAUAUAUAUCUGUUGGACUAACAUGUUGCAGUGCCUCCUUUGGACCUGGUGGGUUGAGCUUUUC
rnacentral:lncRNA from 1 species